GACGAACGCUGGCGGCGUGCUUAACACAUGCAAGUCGAACGAUGAAAGAGGAGCUUGCUCCUCUGGAUUAGUGGCGAACGGGUGAGUAACACGUGAGUAAUCUGCCCCUGACUCCGGAAUAACUACGGGAAACUGUAGCUAAUACCGGAUAUGCGCCGAACAGGCAUCUGUAUCGGUGGGAAAGAAUUUCGGUCAGGGAUGAGCUCGCGGCCUAUCAACUUGUUGGUGAGGUAACGGCUCACCAAGGCGACGACGGGUAGCCGGCCUGAGAGGGUGACCGGCCACAUUGGGACUGAGACACGGCCCAGACCCCUACGGGAGGCAGCAGUGGGGAAUAUUGCACAAUGGGCGCAAGCCUGAUGCAGCAACGCCGCGUGAGGGAUGACGGCCUUCGGGUUGUAAACCUCUUUUAGCAGGGAAGAAGCGAAAGUGACGGUACCUGCAGAAAAAGCGCCGGCUAACUACGUG
rnacentral:rRNA from 1 species